UACGAAGGGGGCUAGCGUUGCUCGGAAUCACUGGGCGUAAAGCGCACGUAGGCGGAUUGUUAAGUCAGGGGUGAAAUCCUGGAGCUCAACUCCAGAACUGCCUUUGAUACUGGCGAUCUCGAGUCCGGGAGAGGUGAGUGGAACUGCGAGUGUAGAGGUGAAAUUCGUAGAUAUUCGCAAGAACACCAGUGGCGAAGGCGGCUCACUGGCCCGGUACUGACGCUGAGGCGCGAAGGCGUGGGGAGCAAACAGG
rnacentral:rRNA from 1 species